rnacentral:rRNA from 1 species
CCUACGGGAGGCAGCAGUGAGGAAUAUUGGUCAAUGGGCGGAAGCCUGAACCAGCCAAGUCGCGUGAGGGAUUAAUGCCCUGCGGGUCGUAAACCUCUUUUGCCGGGGAGCAGAGCUCCGUACGUGUCCGCGCCGGGAGAGUACCCGGAGAAAAAGCAGCGGCUACCUCCGUGCCAGCAGCCGCGGUCAUACGGCGGAUGCGAGCGUUAUCCGGAUUUAUUGGGUUUAAAGGGUGCGUAGGCGGGCCGUUAAGCCGGCGGUCAAAUGUCGGGGCUCAACCCCGGCCUGCCGUCGGAACUGGGGGCCUUGAGUGGGCGAGAAGUAGGCGGAAUGCGUGGUGUAGCGGUGAAAUGCAUAGAUAUCACGCAGAACCCCGAUUGCGAAGGCAGCAUACCGGCGCCCUACUGACGCUGAGGCACGAAAGUGCGGGUAUCGAACAGGAUUAGAUACCCCUGUAGUC